rnacentral:rRNA from 1 species
UUUUGGACAAUGGGGGCAACCCUGAUCCAGCCAUGCCGCGUGAGUGAAGAAGGCCUUCGGGUUGUAAAGCUCUUUCGGACGGAACGAAAUUGGCGGGACUAAUACUCCUGUCUGAUGACGGUACCGUAAGAAGAAGCACCGGCUAACUACGUGCCAGCAGCCGCGGUAAUACGUAGGGUGCGAGCGUUAAUCGGAAUUACUGGGCGUAAAGCGUGCGCAGGCGGUUUCGUAAGCUGGAGGUGAAAUCCCCGGGCUUAACCUGGGAAUGGCCUUCAGGACUGCGAGGCUAGAGUGCGGCAGAGGGAGGUGGAAUUCCACGUGUAGCAGUGAAAUGCGUAGAGAUGUGGAGGAACACCGAUGGCGAAGGCAGCCCCCUGGGCUAACACUGACGCUCAUGCACGAAA